rnacentral:rRNA from 1 species
AAGACAGAGGGUGCAAACGUUGUUCGGAAUUACUGGGCGUAAAGCGCGUGUAGGCGGCUGUGCAAGUCGGAUGUGAAAUCCCGUGGCUCAACCACGGAAGUGCACCCGAAACUGCGCAGCUCGAGUCUCGGAGAGGAAGGUGGAAUGCUUGGUGUAGAGGUGAAAUUCGUAGAUAUCAAGCGGAACACCGGUGGCGAAGGCGGCCUUCUGGACGAUGACUGACGCUGAGACGCGAAAGCGUGGGGAGCAAACAGG